rnacentral:rRNA from 1 species
CAGCCGCGGUAAUUCCGCUCCAAUAGCGUAUAUUAAAGUUGUUGCAGUUAAAAAGCUCGUAGUUGAAUUUCGGAGUUUAUCGGUUGGUCGGGCUUCACUGUCCGCACUGACCUGAUGGAUUCCUACCUUCUGAAUAACCAGCAUGCUAUUAAGUUAGUGCGUUGGGGAAGCAGAGCUAUUACCUUGAAAAAAUUAGAGUGCUUAAAGCAGGCUUAUGCUUGAAUAGAUUAGCAUGGAAUAAUAAAAUAGGACGGCAUGGUUCUAUUUUGUUGGUUUCUAGGAUCACCGUAAUGAUUAAUAGGGAUAGUUGGGGGCAUUAGUAUUCAAUUGUCAGAGGUGAAAUUCUUGGAUUUAUUGAAGACUAACUUCUGCGAAAGCAUUUGCCAAGGAUGUUUUCAUUAAUCAAGAACGAAAGUUAGGGGAUCGAAGACGAUCAGAUACCGUCGUAGUCUUAACCAUAAACUAUGCCGACUAGGGAUCGGACGAUGUUAAUUUUUUAAUGACUCGUUCGGCGCCUUACG